GACGAACGCUGGCGGCGUGCUUAACACAUGCAAGUCGAACGGUAAGGCCCUUCGGGGUACACGAGUGGCGAACGGGUGAGUAACACGUGGGUGAUCUGCCCUGCACUUCGGGAUAAGCCUGGGAAACUGGGUCUAAUACCGGAUAAGACCACUGCCUGCAUGGGUGGUGGUGGAAAGCUUUUGCGGUGUUGGAUGGGCCCGCGGCCUAUCAGCUUGUUGGUGGGGUGAGGGCCUACAAAGGCGACGACGGGUAGACGGCCUGAGAGGGUGACUGGCAAAACGGAGAAUGGCAUGCGGGACAGACUACUAAGGGGUGCAGCGGUGGGGACUAUUGCACAAUGCGCGCAAGCCUGAUUCAGCGACGCCGCGUGAGGGAUGACGGCCUUCGGGCUGUAAACCUCUUUCAGCACCGACGAAGCGCAAGUGACGGUAGGUGCAGAAGAAGGACCGGCCAACUACGUGCCAGCCGCCGCCGUAACAC
rnacentral:rRNA from 1 species